AUUGAACGCUGUCGGCAGGCCUAACACAUGCAAGUCGAGCGAGCGGCGGACGGGUGAGUACUGUCUGGGAAACUGCCUGAUGGAGGGGGAUAACUACUGGAAACGGUAGCUAAUACCGCAUACCAUCAGAUGUGCCCAGAUGGGAUUAGCUAGUGGGUGGGGUAACGGCUCACCUAGGCGACGAUCCCUAGCUGGUCUGCGAGGGUUACCAGCCCAACGGGAAAUGAGACACGGCCCAAACUCCUACGGGAGGAAGCAGUGGGGAAUAUUGAACAAUGGGCGAAAGCCGGAUGCAGCCAUGCCGCGUGUGGGAAAAAGGCCUUCGGGUUGUAAAGCACUUUCAGCGGGGAGGCGUUACCCGCAGAAGAAGCACCGGCUAACUCCGUGCCAGCAGCCGCGGUAAUAC
rnacentral:rRNA from 1 species